CAUUAAGAAGCUGUAGGAUAGCAACAGCCUUUUAAGCUGUAGGCAGGUGACUCAACCCACCCUUAAUGA
rnacentral:tRNA from 1 species